rnacentral:rRNA from 1 species
GAUCCUGGCUCAGGAUGAACGCUAGCGGCAGGCCUAAUACAUGCAAGUCGAACGGAUAUAUGUUUUUCGGAAUAUAUAUUAGUGGCGCACGGGUGAGUAACACGUACAUAACUUGCCCUCAAGCGGGGGAUAGCCUUGGGAAACUGAGAGUAAUACCCCAUAGAAUUAUUGGACGGCAUCGUUUGAUAAUUAAAACUACGGUGCUUGGGGAUAGAUGUGCGUCUGAUUAGCUAGUUGGUGAGGUAACUGCUCACCAAGGCGACGAUCAGUAGGGGGCGUGAGAGCGUGGCCCCCCACACGGGUACUGAGACACGGACCCGACUCCUACGGGAGGCAGCAGUAAGGAAUAUUGGUCAAUGGAGGGAACUCUGAACCAGCCAUGCCGCGUGAAGGAUGACGGCCCUCUGGGUUGUAAACUUCUUUUGGAUGGGGCGAAAAACGGGAUUUAUCCUGGACUGACGGUACCAUCAGAAUAAGCACCGGCUAACUCCGUGCCAGCAGC